GGCCAUCACCUCAAACGCCGUCAAGCCCUAGGGUUGAGAGAGAAAGAGAGCGCCACGUGAGAGAGAGAAAGAAGCGAAGCUGCCAAUGUCGCGCCUCGUCCAUACCCUCAUUCGGGGGAUCCACUGGUGGUCAAGAAGAUUCACGAGGGACGACUGAAGCCACGAGGGACGACUGAAGCCUAGCGGGUGAAGAGUAGGUACCGCCGGAGGAGGAUUACUACGAUGAGUUUGAUGAGAUCUAGGUGUCAUCUCCCAGUUAACUGUUGGCGCCGAGGACAUAGUUAUCUUAGUUUGAUUUAUUUAUUUAUUUAUUUAUUUAUUUAUUAUUUGCUAUUUUGUAAGACAUUCUCGUUAUAUAAUAAAGUUUGUGACAUUCGUCUCUA